CAGCUGCUAUGGAAACACACCUAACUCCACUUGAGGAACUCCUCACAGACAACAGACAUUGCUGUUCAAGUCCACAUCUCUUGGAUUCCAAAAUGUCAGAUGUACUAGGAUGUGUAACAGCUCAGACAAAAACAUUACAAACUGAUUUCGCAGUAGUCUACGACAUGAGUAAUUCCCACAGAGCCCUGUGAGUGAGCGAAAGAGCUUUGAGGAGGUGACCGCAUACUGAGCUUGCUUUGCAACUCAAUCCAGCUGAAACAAAGGAUGGGUCUGUGUGCUCUCCCUAAAUAAGCACAGUGCUGAAAAUUAAACUUUGAGCCUUGAUCAGAAA